rnacentral:lncRNA from 1 species
AGCAAAGCGUUGGACAUUAUCUGGGGUUUCUCUGCAAAUGUUUCCUUCCCUGAGACUGGCAUCUACCCAGACCUUUCGGUAGCUCUGUGCUGAGCUCCCGAAGGGGGCUAGAAGAGCUCCUCAACCCAUCAACCAACAGUACUAAUUAGGUUUUCAUCCUAAAGGGAGUUUGGGAUCCUAAAGGGAAUUUCCUUCUGUGGUUAGAACGAGUGCUCCAUCAAAUAUCUCUCAUCGCUCAACAACACUGUACAUUAGCCCACAAAAUAAAUCCCAAGUUUUUCACAUUUGUUGAAAUGAAUAACCAUAAAAGAUAAAAAGUCAGAGGCGGAGCAACAAGGAAACUCCAGUUCGUGGAUUUCUGGGGGGUCGUCUUCGGCGGUAUUGCUCCUUCAAGCUGUGCAAGGGAUGCUCAGCAGAGGAGAGGACCCAGGAGCAGUGCUGGUCUCACACCACCACCUAGGCAAAGCGCGCUUCAUGCUUUUCACUGCAACUCUGUUUUUUAGGAGUGUUUAUGGAAACCAUAGGAAUGAGCAAUAUUCUCCUUCCUUAUCAUGAGGCUUGCUGUUUGCCUUGCUUCACAACAGCUGCUGGUGCCCUUGGCUUCUCUCACAGAGCUUCUUUUCUAGCUCAAGUAGGAAAUCCCUGUGGUUUUGAAGCUAAAAGGUCAAUGCUUUGAGUGGGUGUGGGAGGGAACUAACCAGGCUUUGUGUAGAUGUAGGUCUGCUGUAAAACAUGCCCGAGAAUUUUGUUUCCCACAAAGCAAGCAGGAGGCUGUUGUGCAGACCUUGUGCUGCAGCUUGGAGGUGGGCAGCGCGUGGGUGCUGCUCGCCUGUGCUGGGUACAGGCUGGGGCUGGGUUUUCCCUUUCUCUUUCAGGGAGAGACCUGUUUUGGAAGCAGUCAGCCACGCCAGGCUUCACAGGGGAGCUGAGAAAAGCUACUGCUGGGAAAACAAACUAGCCAAACCUAACUGCGGAGAGCCUGUCACUGCCAUGACCCAGAGAGGGGAAGAAACUUCUGAAAUGGGCCUGAGAAAUCUGGAAGAUCUGGCUCAAGAUGUAGCUAUUGAUAGGACUCUUUAUGGUUCCCAUCUGCUCUCUCAUUAG